UGCCAGAAACAGGGAAGCUUAUUUUAUUUUAUUUCAGGGUCCUGUGUCUCCCAUGCUGGUCUUGAAUUCAUUAUGUAGUUAUAGCAAGGAUGACCUUGAACUGAUCUCUCCACCCCACCAAGUGCUAGGAAUACAGACCAGGGCUGCACAACGGUGCCUGAUUUCCUCAGUGCUGGAGUUCCAACGCAGGCCUUCCUUCAGACGAGAUCAGGAAGUAGAGUUCUUAGCUACUCUCCAGCACCAUGUCUACCUGCAUGCUGCCAUGCUUCCCACCAUGAUGACAAUGGACUAAACUUCUGACCUGAACUCUUUUAAAAGGAGGGAGCUGGCCUCCCACAAGAAGCACAGUGAGGCAAACGGUGCAGUGUGGUAUGAUGGGCUAUGGGGUUCAGGGAAGAGGUAUAGUCUAUUUUCUAAGAUCUUCAACUGAUUAAAUGAGGUUCUCCCACAUCAUGUAUAGUAGACAAGCUACUCAAAGUUCACUAAUUUAA